ACGGAAGGCAGCAGUGGGGAAUAUUGGGCAAUGGGCGAAAGCCUGACCCAGCAACGCCGCGUGAAGGAAGAAGGUCUUCGGAUUGUAAACUUCUUUUAUGUGGGACGAACAAAUGACGGUACCACAUGAAUAAGCCACGGCUAACUACGUGCCAGCAGCCGCGGUAAUACGUAGGGGGCGAGCGUUAUCCGGAAUUAUUGGGCGUAAAGAGUACGUAGGUGGUUUUGUAAGCGUAGGGUGAAAGCCCGGGGCUUAACUCCGGUUAGCCUUACGAACUGCAAGACUUGAGUGCAGGAGGGGAAAGUGGAAUUCCUGGUGUAGCGGUGAAAUGCGUAGAUAUCAGGAGGAACACCGGUGGCGAAGGCGACUUUCUGGACUGUAACUGACACUGAGGUACGAAAGCGUGGGGAGCAAACAGGAUUAGAUACCCUGGUA
rnacentral:rRNA from 1 species